rnacentral:rRNA from 1 species
AUCUACAGCCAUGCCACCUUUCACAAGCGCAAUCCCGUCUGAUCUCGGAAGCUAAGCAGGGGUCGGGCCUGGUUAGUACUUAGAUGAGAGACCACCUAGGAAGACCAGGUGCUGUAGGCA